UGUUUGCACUUACUUUUAUCCUUCUGCUUGUUGUCAUGUUUCCACCAGAGGACACUGUUGCUCCAAAAACACCAGACUCUGAAGCCAUGUUGGGAUCAACAGCUCUCAACUCCCUGGGCUGUGCUGUUAACUCUCAUCCUGCUUCCAGGACGGAAUCAUUUUUUCAUCGGGAUCUUGGUUGAAAAAGCCAACAGUGACAAACUCCACACUCAGAGGACCUAGGCUGACCGGGGAUUGAACACUGGGCCUUUUUGCUGUGAGGCAACAGUGCUAUCCACCCAGUGAGUUUGUUAUCUUGUACCACCAUUCAACCCAACCACCUCCAAAAGAUUUCUUUGUGGUUUAAGAACGUAGCACUUCCAGGACUGAAAAAGAUAUCUACUAGUACUCAUGCAGCAGUUGCUUUUCCUCCUAAAUGUAUUAGGCCAAACCAUUUGGUAAUAA